GUGGGGAAUAUUGGGCAAUGGGGGAAACCCUGACCCAGCAACGCCGCGUGAGGGAAGAAGGCUUUCGGGUUGUAAACCUCUGUCCCAUGGGAAGAAAUAAAUGACGGUACCAUGGGAGGAAGCCCCGGCUAACUACGUGCCAGCAGCCGCGGUAAGACGUAGGGGGCAAGCGUUGUCCGGAAUUACUGGGCGUAAAGGGUGCGUAGGCGGCAAUGCAAGUCUAAUGUGAAAUCCCCGUGCUUAACAUGGGGAUUGCAAUAGAAACUGUAUAGCUAGAGUGCAGGAGAGGUAAGUGGAAUUCCUAGUGUAGCGGUGAAAUGCAUAGAUAUUAGGAGGAACACCAGUGGCGAAGGCGACUUACUGGACUGUAACUGACGCUGAAGCACGAAAGCGUGGGGAGCGAACAGGAUUAGAAACCCCUGUAGUCC
rnacentral:rRNA from 1 species